CACAAAGGCUGUCCUGACAAAGUUUUGCGACGUUUAGCCACGGACGCAGACAACUCGCUCAAAAAAAAAAUUGGCGGUUAAUGUUAGAAGGAAGUUGCUUGUGCUCUUAAAUACAUGUAAACCUUUUUUUCAGUGUGUUUUGUGAGCCUGUCGCAUCUAGACCAAGCGUAAAAAUGAUUAGUAUGGUGUGAUUGGGUUAUUAUUGAUAGCUUACAAACUGUUUGUCCAGUAAAUUGUUGAGUCCUAUUUGUCGUAUGAUCCUCAAGCGUCUGCUGCUCUAUUAUGCGAGAUGUCCAAAUUACAGAAAACAAACGGUAAAUACUUAUGGUGGUGUCUCCUGUGCCUCGAAUUCAGACCGGAUACAGUUAGCAAAAACAUUAAACAUCUGAAUCUAGGAAUGAACAUGUUUGAUAAGCCAAACAAAGAGGCAUUCUACAUUGUCAUCCACUUUUUAUUUAAUAAACUGAAUCCUGCACGUGCCCAAGUUGUCUUCAGACAUUGCUGGCCAAUUUGGGAUCGUAAAGGUGAUGCUGAGUUUCGAAAGGUGGCUUUUUCAUGGCUCCAAGAGAUAGCGAACGAAGAAGGUAAUGCUUUUCCUAAGGUGGCUGCAUCACAUUUACUCUCUGCUUUUGGACCAAGAUUUAUCAACUUGAUGCUCCACUUAUCUAAACAUGUCAUGCUGAAAACACUGAAGACAUUUACCACAGGUAUGUUAUUGUUUUCCUAAACAUUCCUCAAAAAAAAAAAAAAAAAAAACUCAUCAGGAUUUUGAAACUUUGCACACAGUUUUCUGCAAUUAGGUUUCUACAUCACCCCCUGAAAGCAGUCAAAAAAUUGUUC